rnacentral:rRNA from 1 species
AUACAUGCCAGUCGAGCGGACAGAAGGGAGCUUGCUCCCGGAUGUUAGCGGCGGACGGGUGAGUAACACGUGGGUAACCUGCCUGUAAGACUGGGAUAACUCCGGGAAACCGGAGCUAAUACCGGAUAGUUCCUUGAACCGCAUGGUUCAAGGAUGAAAGACGGUUUCGGCUGUCACUUACAGAUGGACCCGCGGCGCAUUAGCUAGUUGGUGAGGUAACGGCUCACCAAGGCGACGAUGCGUAGCCGACCUGAGAGGGUGAUCGGCCACACUGGGACUGAGACACGGCCCAGACUCCUACGGGAGGCAGCAGUAGGGAAUCUUCCGCAAUGGACGAAAGUCUGACGGAGCAACGCCGCGUGAGUGAUGAAGGUUUUCGGAUCGUAAAGCUCUGUUGUUAGGGAAGAACAAGUGCAAGAGUAACUGCUUGCACCUUGACGGUACCUAACCAGAAAGCCACGGCUAACUACGUGCCAGCAGCCGCGGUAAUACGUAGGUGGCAAGCGUUGUCCGGAAUUAUUGGGCGUAAAGGGCUCGCAGGCGGUUUCUUAAGUCUGAUGUGAAAGCCCCCGGCUCAACCGGGGAGGGUCAUUGGAAACUGGGAAACUUGAGUGCAGAAGAGGAGAGUGGAAUUCCACGUGUAGCGGUGAAAUGCGUAGAGAUGUGGAGGAACACCAGUGGCGAAGGCGACUCUCUGGUCUGUAACUGACGCUGAGGAGCGAAAGCGUGGGGAGCGAACAGGAUUAGAUACUUUGGUUUAUUC